GUAGGUGGCAAGCGUUGUCCGGAGUUAUUGGGCGUAAAGCGCGCGCAGGCGGGGUUUUUAAGUCUGAUGUGAAAGCCCACGGGCUCAACCGUGGAGGGUCAUUGGAAACUGGAGAACUUGAGUACAGAAGAGGAAAGCGGAAUUCCACGUGUAGCGGUGAAAUGCGUAGAGAUGUGGAGGAACACCAGUGGCGAAGGCGGCUUUCUGGUCUGUAACUGACGCUGAGGCGCGAAAGCGUGGGGAGCAAACAGGAUUAGAUACCCUGGUAGUCCACGCCGUAAACGAUGAGUGCUAAGUGUUAGGGGGGUUUCCGCCCCUUAGUGCUGCAGCUAACGCAUUAAGCACUCCGCCUGGGGAGUACGGCCGCAAGGCUG
rnacentral:rRNA from 1 species